rnacentral:rRNA from 1 species
UAAAAGUCGUAACAAGGUUUCCGUAGGUGAACCUGCGGAAGGAUCAUUACCGUUUACUCACUCCAAGUUGGGGAUAGGAGUAGUACACCGUGAACCGUUCUGAACGCCUGGAGGUAGCCCCGCCGCCGCCUUAAACUGCCGGCAAUUUCAAUUGCUGGCGGCCUCCUGCACAAAAAUGUUUUUUGUAUUUGUGUCAGAAAAGUUACUAUUACAGAGAGCUGGGUUUAAUAAAUAAUGAGGAAAACUUUUGACGGUGGAUCUCUUGGCUCGUGCAUCGAUGAAGAACGCAGCCAGGUGCGAUAAGUAGUGUGAAUUGCAGAAUUCAGUGAAUCAUCGAAUCUUUGAACGCAAAUGGCGCUCCUGGGUCUUCCCAGGAGCAUGUCUGUCUGAGUGUCGGUUCCAAAAACAUAUCGUGCUUUGCACGGCGUUGGGGCGUCACGAGCAGUCGUGUCCCCUGAAAGACAGCGGUGAGAACCCUGGGCUCGGGGUGCGGCCAAACUGUAUGUUGUUAACCGCACUGCGUGAAGGGUUCUUAUCCGAGAAGACACCAUCAUUGACCUCAGAUCAGGCAAGAUUACCCGCUGAAUUUAAGCAUAUCAAU